rnacentral:rRNA from 1 species
AUUGAACGCUGGCGGCAUGCUUUACACAUGCAAGUCGAACGGUAACAGGCCUUCGGGUGCUGACGAGUGGCGAACGGGUGAGUAAUGCAUCGGAACGUGCCCAGAGGUGGGGGAUAACGCAGCGAAAGCUGUGCUAAUACCGCAUGUGAUCUGAGGAUGAAAGCGGGGGACCACGCAGCAAUGUUCGGCCUCGCGCCUCUGGAGCGGCCGAUGUCAGAUUAGGUAGUUGGUGGGGUAAAGGCCUACCAAGCCGACGAUCUGUAGCUGGUCUGAGAGGACGACCAGCCACACUGGGACUGAGACACGGCCCAGACUCCUACGGGAGGCAGCAGUGGGGAAUUUUGGACAAUGGGCGCAAGCCUGAUCCAGCAAUGCCGCGUGCGGGAAGAAGGCCUUCGGGUUGUAAACCGCUUUUGUACGGAACGAAAAGGCGCUGGCUAAUACCUGGGGCUGAUGACGGUACCGUAAGAAUAAGCACCGGCUAACUACGUG